CUUCGGAUCUUUGAGAGCGGCGUACGGGUGCGGAACACGUGUGCAACCUGCCUUUAUCUGGGGGAUAGCCUUUCGAAAGGAAGAUUAAUACCCCAUAAUAUUUUGAAUGGCAUCAUUUAAAAUUGAAAACUCCGGUGGAUAGAGAUGGGCACGCGCAAGAUUAGAUAGUUGGUGAGGUAACGGCUCACCAAGUCAGUGAUCUUUAGGGGGCCUGAGAGGGUGAUCCCCCACACUGGUACUGAGACACGGACCAGACUCCUACGGGAGGCAGCAGUGAGGAAUAUUGGACAAUGGGUGAGAGCCUGAUCCAGCCAUCCCGCGUGAAGGACGACGGCCCUAUGGGUUGUAAACUUCUUUUGUAUAGGGAUAAACCUUUCCACGUGUGGAAAGCUGAAGGUACUAUACGAAUAAGCACCGGCUAACUCCGUGCCAGCAGCCGCGGUAAUACGGAGGGUGCAAGCGUUAUCCGGAUUUAUUGGGUUUAAAGGGUCCGUAGGCGGGCUCGUAAGUCAGUGGUGAAAUCUCAUAGCUUAACUAUGAAACUGCCAUUGAUACUGCGAGCCUUGAGUAAGGUAGAGGUAGCUGGAAUAAGUAGUGUAGCGGUGAAAUGCAUAGAUAUUACUUAGAACACCAAUUGCGAAGGCAGGUUACCAUGUCUUAACUGACGCUGAUGGACGAAAGCGUGGGGAGCGAA
rnacentral:rRNA from 1 species